rnacentral:rRNA from 1 species
GACGAACGCUGGCGGCGUGCUUAACACAUGCAAGUCGAACGGAAAGGCCCUGCUUUUGUGGGGUGCUCGAGUGGCGAACGGGUGAGUAACACGUGAGUAACCUGCCCUUGACUUUGGGAUAACUUCAGGAAACUGGGGCUAAUACCGGAUAGGAGCUCCUGCUGCAUGGUGGGGGUUGGAAAGUUUCGGCGGUUGGGGAUGGACUCGCGGCUUAUCAGCUUGUUGGUGGGGUAGUGGCUUACCAAGGGUUUGACGGGUAGCCGGCCUGAGAGGGUGACCGGCGACAUUGGGACUGAGGUACGGAGCAGACGCGUAUGGGAGGCAGUAGUCGGGAGUAUUGCACAAUGGGCGGAAGCCUGAUGAAGCAACGCCGCGGGCGGGAUGACGGCCUUCGGGGUGUAAACCGCUUUCGCCUGUGACGAAGCGUGAGUGACGGUAAUGGGUAAAGAAGCACCGGCUAACUACGUG